UGGGGAAUAUUGGACAAUGGGCGAAAGCCUGAUCCAGCCAUGCCGCGUGUGUGAAGAAGGUCUUCGGAUUGUAAAGCACUUUAAGUUGGGAGGAAGGGCAGUAAGCGAAUACCUUGCUGUUUUGACGUUACCGACAGAAUAAGCACCGGCUAACUCUGUGCCAGCAGCCGCGGUAAUACAGAGGGUGCAAGCGUUAAUCGGAAUUACUGGGCGUAAAGCGCGCGUAGGUGGUUCGUUAAGUUGAAUGUGAAAGCCCCGGGCUCAACCAGGGAACUGCAUCCAAAACUGGCGAGCUAGAGUAGGGCAGAGGGUGGUGGAAUUUCCUGUGUAGCGGUGAAAUGCGUAGAUAUAGGAAGGAACACCAGUGGCGAAGGCGACCUGCUGGGCUCAUACUGACACUGAGGUGCGAAAGCGUGAGGAGCAAACAGG
rnacentral:rRNA from 1 species